rnacentral:rRNA from 1 species
AACGAACGCUGGCGGCAGGCCUAACACAUGCAAGUCGAGCGAGGACUUCGGUCCUAGCGGCGGACGGGUGAGUAACGCGUGGGAACGUGCCCUUUGCUUCGGAAUAGCCCUGGGAAACUGGGAGUAAUACCGGAUGAGCCCUUUGGGGGAAAGAUUUAUCGGCGAAGGAUCGGCCCGCGUUGGAUUAGGUAGUUGGCGGGGUAAUGGCCUACCAAGCCGACGAUCCAUAGCUGGUUUGAGAGGAUGAUCAGCCACACUGGGACUGAGACACGGCCCAGACUCCUACGGGAGGCAGCAGUGGGGAAUCUUAGACAAUGGGGGAAACCCUGAUCUAGCCAUGCCGCGUGAGCGAUGAAGGCCUUAGGGUUGUAAAGCUCUUUCAGCUGGGAAGAUAAUGACGGUACCAGCAGAAGAAGCCCCGGCUAACUCCGUG